rnacentral:rRNA from 1 species
GAUGAACGCUGGCGGCGUGCUUAACACAUGCAAGUCGAACGGGAAACCUUUUAUUGAAGCUUCGGCAGAUUUAGCUGGUUUCUAGUGGCGGACGGGUGAGUAACGCGUGGGUAACCUGCCUUAUACAGGGGGAUAACAGUCAGAAAUGGCUGCUAAUACCGCAUAAGCGCACAGAGCUGCAUGGCUCAGUGUGAAAAACUCCGGUGGUAUAAGAUGGACCCGCGUUGGAUUAGCUGGUUGGUGGGGUAACGGCCCACCAAGGCGACGAUCCAUAGCCGGCCUGAGAGGGUGAACGGCCACAUUGGGACUGAGACACGGCCCAGACUCCUACGGGAGGCAGCAGUGGGGAAUAUAGCACAAUGGGGGAAACCCUGAUGCAGCGACGCCGCGUGAAGGAAGAAGUAUCUCGGUAUGUAAACUUCUAUCAGCAGGGAAGAUAAUGACGGUACCUGACUAAGAAGCCCCGGCUAACUACGG